rnacentral:rRNA from 1 species
GACGGAAGGUGCAAGCGUUGCUCGGAAUCACUGGGCGUAAAGGGUGCGCAGGUGGGCUGGUAAGUUCGAUGUGAAAGCCCCGGGCUUAACCCGGGAAUGGCAUUGGAUACUACUGGUCUGGAGGAUCGGAGGGGGGACUGGAAUUCUUGGUGUAGCAGUGAAAUGCGUAGAUAUCAAGAGGAACACCGGUGGCGAAGGCGGGUCUCUGGGCCGAUACUGACGCUGAGGAGCGAAAGCGUGGGGAGCGAACAGG